AGUGAACGCUGGCGGUAGGCCUAACACAUGCAAGUCGAACGGCAGCACAGUAAGAGCUUGCUCUUACGGGUGGCGAGUGGCGGACGGGUGAGGAAUACAUCGGAAUCUACUUUUUCGUGGGGGAUAACGUAGGGAAACUUACGCUAAUACCGCAUACGACCUACGGGUGAAAGCAGGGGAUCUUCGGACCUUGCGCGAUUGAAUGAGCCGAUGUCGGAUUAGCUAGUUGGCGGGGUAAAGGCCCACCAAGGCGACGAUCCGUAGCUGGUCUGAGAGGAUGAUCGGCCACACUGGAACUGAGACACGGUCCAGACUCCUACGGGAGGCAGCAGUGGGGAAUAUUGGACAAUGGGCGAAAGCCUGACCCAGCCACACCGCGUGGGUGAAGAAGGCCUUCGGGUUGUAAAGCCCUUUUGUUGGGAAAGAAAAGCAGCAGGUUAAUACCCCGCUGUUCUGACGGUACCCAAAGAAUAAGCACCGGCUAACUUCGUG
rnacentral:rRNA from 1 species